UCGGGAAUUUUGGGCAAUGGGCGCAAGCCUGACCCAGCAACGCCGCGUGAAGGAUGAAAUCCUUCGGGAUGUAAACUUCACAAGAACGGGAAGAAUAAGCAUGGGGUAAUACCCGAUGCGAUGACGGUACUGUUUGUAAGCUCCGGCUAACUCCGUGCCAGCAGCCGCGGUAAUACGGGGGGAGCAAGCGUUGUUCGGAUUUACUGGGCGUAAAGGGCGCGUAGGCGGCACCACAAGUCACUUGUGAAAUCUGGAGGCUUAACCUCCAGCGGCCACGUGAAACUGUGGAGCUAGAGUGCAGAAGGGGCCACUGGAAUUCUCGGUGUAGCGGUGAAAUGCGUAGAUAUCGAGAGGAACACCUGCGGCGAAGGCGGGUGGCUGGGCUGACACUGACGCUGAGGCGCGAAAGCUAGGGGAGCGAACGG
rnacentral:rRNA from 1 species